AUUGAACGCUGGCGGCAUGCCUUACACAUGCAAGUCGAACGGCAGCACGGGAGCAAUCCUGGUGGCGAGUGGCGAACGGGUGAGUAAAGUAUCGGAACGUGCCCAGUCGUGGGGGAUAACGUAGCGAAAGUUACGCUAAUACCGCAUACGAUCUAUGGAUGAAAGCGGGGGAUCGCAAGACCUCGCGCGAUUGGAGCGGCCGAUAUCAGAUUAGGUAGUUGGUGGGGUAAAGGCUCACCAAGCCGACGAUCUGUAGCUGGUCUGAGAGGACGACCAGCCACACUGGGACUGAGACACGGCCCAGACUCCUACGGGGUGAAGCAGUGGGAAUUUUGGACAAUGGGCGCAAGCCUGAUCCAGCCAUGCCGCGUGCAGGAUGAAGGCCUUCGGGUUGUAGACUGCUUUUGUACGGAACGAAAAGGUUUGACUUAAUACGUUGGACUCAUGACGGUACCGUAAGAAUAAGCACCGGCUAACUACGUGCCAGCCGCCGCGGUAA
rnacentral:rRNA from 1 species